rnacentral:rRNA from 1 species
GUAGGGAAUCUUCCACAAUGGACGCAAGUCUGACGGAGCAACGCCGCGUGAGUGAUGAAGGUCUUCGGAUUGUAAAGCUCUGUUAAUCGGGACGAAAGAGCCUAGUGUGAAUAAUGCUAGGAAGUGACGGUACCGGAAUAGAAAGCCACGGCUAACUACGUGCCAGCAGCCGCGGUAAUACGUAGGUGGCAAGCGUUGUCCGGAAUUAUUGGGCGUAAAGCGCGCGCAGGCGGAUCUGCCAGUCUGUCUUAAAAGUUCGGGGCUUAACCCCGUGAUGGGAUGGAAACUACAGAUCUAGAGUAUCGGAGAGGAAAGUGGAAUUCCUAGUGUAGCGGUGAAAUGCGUAGAUAUUAGGAAGAACACCAGUGGCGAAGGCGACUUUCUGGACGAAAACUGACGCUGAGGCGCGAAAGCCAGGGGAGCGAACGGGAUUAGAUACCCGGGUAGUCC